rnacentral:rRNA from 1 species
GAUGAACGCUAGCGGCAGGCUUAAUACAUGCAAGUCAAGGGGCCAGCAAUGGCACCGGCGGACGGGUGAGUAACGCGUACACAACGUACCUUUAACUGGGGGAUAGCAUCUGGAAACGGGUGGUAAUACCGCAUGUGGUUGUGAGGAGGCAUCUCCUUGCAACUAAAACUUAGGUGGUUAGAGAUCGGUGUGCGUCUGAUUAGCUAGUUGGUAGGGUAGAGGCCUACCAAGGCGACGAUCAGUAGGGGGCGUGAGAGCGUGAACCCCCACACGGGUACUGAGACACGGACCCGACUCCUACGGGAGGCAGCAGUAAGGAAUAUUGGUCAAUGGAGGGAACUCUGAACCAGCCAUGCCGCGUGAAGGAAGAAGGCGCUACGCGUUGUAAACUUCUUUUGGGUGGGACGAAAAUAAUCCAUUUAUGGAUAGCUGACGGUACCAUCAGAAUAAGCACCGGCUAACUCCGUG